UAGUCCAUGCCGUAAACGAUGAUUACUAGCUAUUAGCGAUACAAUGUUAGUGGCAAAGCGAAAGCAUUAAGUAAUCCACCUGGGAAGUACGGUCGCAAGAUUGAAACUCAAAGGAAUUGACGGGGGCCCGCACAAGCGGUGGAGCAUGUGGUUUAAUUCGAUGAUACGCGAGGAACCUUACCAGGGCUUAAAUGUAAGUUGCAUGAUUUAGAGAUAGAUCUUUCUUCGGACUACUUACAAGGUGCUGCAUGGUUGUCGUCAGCUCGUGCCGUGAGGUGUCAGGUUAAGUCCUAUAACGAGCGCAACCCCUAUUGUUAGUUGCCAGCAUUAAGUUGGGGACUCUAACAAGACUGCCGGCGUAAGCCGCGAGGAAGGUGGGGACGACGUCAAAUCAUCAUGGCCUUUAUGCCCAGGGCGACACACGUGCUACAAUGGUACAUACAGAGGGUUGCGAAGCUGCGAGGUGGAGCUAAUCCCAGAAAGUGUAUCCCAGUUCGG
rnacentral:rRNA from 1 species